rnacentral:rRNA from 1 species
AACGCUGGCGGCGUGCCUAAUACAUGCGAGUCGAGCGAGCUUGCCUAUAUGAAUUUGGUGCUUGCACCAAAAGAAACUAGAUACGAGCGAGCGGCGGACGGGUGAGUAACACGUGGGUAACCUGCCCAAGAUACUGGGAUAACACCUGGAAACAGAUGCUAAUACCGGAUAACAACACUACACGCAUGUCUAGAGUUUAAAAGAUGGUUCUGCUAUCUCUCUUGGAUGGACCUGCUGCGCAUUAUCUAGUUGGUAAGGUAACGGCUUACCAAGGCAAUGAUGCGUACCCGAGUUGAUAGACUGAUCGGCCACUUUGGGACUGAUACACGGCCCAAACUCCUACGGGAGGCAGCAGUAGGGAAUCUUCCACAAUGGACGCAAGUCUGAUGGAGCAACGCCGCGUGAGUGAAGAAGGGUUUCGGCUCGAAAAGCUCUGUUGGUAGUGAAGAAAGAUAGAGGUAAUAACUGGUCUUUAUUUGACAGUAAUUACUUAGAAAGUCACAGCUAACUACGUGCCACCAGCCGCGGCAAUACAUACGUGGCGAGCGUUGUCCUGAUUUAUUGCCCGUAAAGCGAGUGCAGGCGGUUCAUUAAGUCUGAUGUGAAAGCCUUCAGCUCAACCGGAGAAUUGCAUCAGAAACUGAUGAACUUGAGUGCAGAAGAGGAGAGUGGAACUCCAUGUGUAGCGGUGGAAUGCGUAGAUAUAUGGAAGAACACCAGUGGCGAAGGCGGCUCUCUGGUCUGCAACUGACGAUGAGGCUCGAAAGCAUGGGUAGCGAACAGGAUUAGAUACCCUGGUAGUCCAUGCACUAAACGAUGAGUGCUAAGUGUUGGGAGGUUUCCGCCUCUCAGUGCUGCAGAUAACGCAUUGAGCACUCCGCCUGGGGAGUACGACCGCAAGGUUGAAACUCAAAGGAAUUGACGGGGGCCCGCACAAGCGGUGGAGCAUGUGGUUUAAUUUGAAGCAACGCGAAGAACCUUAUCAGGUCUUGACAUCCAGUGCAAACCUAAGAGAUUAGGUGUUCCUUUCGGGGACGUUGAGACAGGUGGUGCAUGGCUGUCGUCAGCUCGUGUCGUGAGAUGUUGGGUUAAGUCCCGCAACGAGCGCAACCCUUGUCAUUAGUUGCCAUCAUUAAGUUGGGCACUGUCAAUGAGACUGGCCGGUGACAACCCGGAGGAAGGUGGGGAUGACGUCAAGUCAUCAUGCCCCUUAUGACCUGGGGUACACACGUGCUACAAUGGACGGUACAACGAGAAGCGAACCUGUGAAGGUAAGCGGAUCUAUGAAAGCCGUUAUCAGUUCGGACUGUAGGAUGCAACUCGCCUACACGAAGCUGGAAUCGCUAGUAAUCGCGGCAUCAGCACGCCCCGGUGAAUACGUUCCCGGUCCUUGUUCACACCGUCCGUCACACCAUGAGAGUCUGUAACACCCAAAGCCGGUGGGAUAACCUUUAUAGGAGUCAGCCGUCUAAGGU